AUGCUCACUUUGGCGGCAUAGAUAAUAAACUUGGAAUGAUUCAGAGAAGAUUAGUAUGGCCUCUGCACAAAGAUAAUAUGCAAAUUAGUGAACCAUUCCAUAUUUUU
ensembl:snRNA U6 U6 spliceosomal RNA